GAUCCUGGGCUCAGGAUGAACGCUAGCUACAGGCUUAACACAUGCAAGUCGAGGGGCAGCAUGGUCUUAGCUUGCUAAGGCCGAUGGCGACCGGCGCACGGGUGAGUAACGCGUAUCCAACCUGCCUUACACUCUUGGACAGCCUUCUGAAAGGGAGAUUAAUACAAGAUGUUAUCAUGAGUAAGCAUUUUCGCAUGAUUAAAGGUUUACCGGUGUAAGAUGGGGAUGCGUU
rnacentral:rRNA from 1 species